AUUAUGCACACCCCGCGCUGCUGAGAAAAAGCGAAGCGGCACUGCUCUUUAACAAUUUAUCAGACAAUCUGUGUGGGCACUCGAAGAUACGGAUUCUUGACGUCGCAAGACGAAAAAAUGAAUACCAAGUCUCUGAGUGAACACGUAAUUCAUUACGAAGUUUAAUUCACGAGCAUCAAACUUUUAAAUUGAAGAGUUUGAUCAUGGCUCAGUUGCCAUCGGAUGUGCCCAGAUGGGAUUAGCUAGUAGGUGGGGUAAAGGCUCACCUAGGCGACGAUCCCUAGCUGGUCUGAGAGGAUGACCAGCCACACUGGAACUGAGACACGGUCCAGACUCCUACGGGAGGCAGCAGUGGGGAAUAUUGCACAAUGGGCGCAAGCCUGAUGCAGCCAUGCCGCGUGUAUGAAGAAGGCCUUCGGGUUGUAAAGUACUUUCAGCGGGGAGGAAGGGAGUAAAGUUAAUACCUUUGCUCAUUGACGUUACCCGCAGAAGAAGCACCGGCUAACUCCGUGCCAGCAGCCGCGGUAAUACGGAGGGUGCAAGCGUUAAUCGGAAUUACUGGGCGUAAAGCGCACGCAGGCGGUUUGUUAAGUCAGAUGUGAAAUCCCCGGGCUCAACCUGGGAACUGCAUCUGAUACUGGCAAGCUUGAGUCUCGUAGAGGGGGGUAGAAUUCCAGGUGUAGCGGUGAAAUGCGUAGAGAUCUGGAGGAAUACCGGUGGCGAAGGCGGCCCCCUGGACGAAGACUGACGCUCAGGUGCGAAAGCGUGGGGAGCAAACAGGAUUAGAUACCCUGGUAGUCCACGCCGUAAACGAUGUCGACUUGGAGGUUGUGCCCUUGAGGCGUGGCUUCCGGAGCUAACGCGUUAAGUCGACCGCCUGGGGAGUACGGCCGCAAGGUUAAAACUCAAAUGAAUUGACGGGGGCCCGCACAAGCGGUGGAGCAUGUGGUUUAAUUCGAUGCAACGCGAAGAACCUUACCUGGUCUUGACAUCCACGGAAGUUUUCAGAGAUGAGAAUGUGCCUUCGGGAACCGUGAGACAGGUGCUGCAUGGCUGUCGUCAGCUCGUGUUGUGAAAUGUUGGGUUAAGUCCCGCAACGAGCGCAACCCUUAUCCUUUGUUGCCAGCGGUCCGGCCGGGAACUCAAAGGAGACUGCCAGUGAUAAACUGGAGGAAGGUGGGGAUGACGUCAAGUCAUCAUGGCCCUUACGACCAGGGCUACACACGUGCUACAAUGGCGCAUACAAAGAGAAGCGACCUCGCGAGAGCAAGCGGACCUCAUAAAGUGCGUCGUAGUCCGGAUUGGAGUCUGCAACUCGACUCCAUGAAGUCGGAAUCGCUAGUAAUCGUGGAUCAGAAUGCCACGGUGAAUACGUUCCCGGGCCUUGUACACACCGCCCGUCACACCAUGGGAGUGGGUUGCAAAAGAAGUAGGUAGCUUAACCUUCGGGAGGGCGCUUACCACUUUGUGAUUCAUGACUGGGGUGAAGUCGUAACAAGGUAACCGUAGGGGAACCUGCGGUUGGAUCACCUCCUUA
rnacentral:rRNA from 1 species